rnacentral:rRNA from 1 species
GACGAACGCUGGCGGCGUGCCUAAUACAUGCAAGUCGAACGCUUCUUUUUCCACCGGAGCUUGCUCCACCGGAAAAAGAAGAGUGGCGAACGGGUGAGUAACACGUGGGUAACCUGCCCAUCAGAAGGGGAUAACACUUGGAAACAGGUGCUAAUACCGUAUAACAAUCAAAACCGCAUGGUUUUGAUUUGAAAGGCGCUUUCGGGUGUCGCUGAUGGAUGGACCCGCGGUGCAUUAGCUAGUUGGUGAGGUAACGGCUCACCAAGGCCACGAUGCAUAGCCGACCUGAGAGGGUGAUCGGCCACAUUGGGACUGAGACACGGCCCAAACUCCUACGGGAGGCAGCAGUAGGGAAUCUUCGGCAAUGGACGAAAGUCUGACCGAGCAACGCCGCGUGAGUGAAGAAGGUUUUCGGAUCGUAAAACUCUGUUGUUAGAGAAGAACAAGGAUGAGAGUAACUGUUCAUCCCUUGACGGUAUCUAACCAGAAAGCCACGGCUAACUACGUGCCAGCAGCCGCGGUAAUACGUAGGUGGCAAGCGUUGUCCGGAUUUAUUGGGCGUAAAGCGAGCGCAGGCGGUUUCUUAAGUCUGAUGUGAAAGCCCCCGGCUCAACCGGGGAGGGUCAUUGGAAACUGGGAGACUUGAGUGCAGAAGAGGAGAGUGGAAUUCCAUGUGUAGCGGUGAAAUGCGUAGAUAUAUGGAGGAACACCAGUGGCGAAGGCGGCUCUCUG